rnacentral:lncRNA from 1 species
GUGGUAUUUUUUUCUCCCGUUGCAACGCACGGGCCCUUUUGCUAGUUCUACAAAAGAGAGUAAUUCCAGGUGAAUGUUCUUUCUACUCUAGGUCAGAGUAAUUCCCGUUAUCCCAUUGGAUAUGGCUAUGUCUAAGGUAACUUCAAGAGGUGUUUGUUUCACGGUUUUUGGGCCGGUACCUCAUUACAGCGCUAUCCAAAUCCGCUUCCCGUGUUAAAAGCCUUUCUGAACUGACCAUUUAUUUGAGAUCAGUAGUAUUUAAAGUUGUAAUUUUACCAGUAGUAUUUAAAUCCGCUUAUGUCACGAAUAAAUGGUCAGUUCAGAAAUGCUACUGGUAAAUCACCAGCUUUAACGCACAUGAGUAUCGAAGAAAAUGAUGGUGUUCAACUGAUCUCAAAUUCCCAAUCCAGCAAAGUAACAAGAUUGCUGGAUGGGUGGGAUACGAUUGUCCCAGUUAAAUGAGCAGCACUAUCAGAUAAGUGCCAAGUGCCAACAAAUGGUAUGUCAAAUCUUGAACCAAAUGUGACUUUUUUACUUGAUGGACAGACAUCAAAGAUUUCAAAUCGGUGGCCAGUGCAUUGUGGUGAUCUAACGUCACGAUCAGCCGAUCAAUGAUGAACUUGAGGGAAAAGGAACAGAAGCCUAUCAGGUUACUGGCAUCACUUUCCAACUUUUCGUAGGCUCUUCCAGGAACAGCAGAUGCUCCUCACAAGCAGAAUAAACAGGCGAAGUGCACAGACUAGAUGUUCUGGAUUCCACCUAAUAG